rnacentral:rRNA from 1 species
AGCAACGCCGCGUGAGUGAUGAAGGUUUUCGGAUCGUAAAGCUCUGUUGUUAGGGAAGAACAAGUACCGUUCGAAUAGGGCGGUACCUUGACGGUACCUAACCAGAAAGCCACGGCUAACUACGUGCCAGCAGCCGCGGUAAUACGUAGGUGGCAAGCGUUGUCCGGAAUUAUUGGGCGUAAAGGGCUCGCAGGCGGUUCCUUAAGUCUGAUGUGAAAGCCCCCGGCUCAACCGGGGAGGGUCAUUGGAAACUGGGGAACUUGAGUGCAGAAGAGGAGAGUGGAAUUCCACGUGUAGCGGUGAAAUGCGUAGAGAUGUGGAGGAACACCAGUGGCGAAGGCGACUCUCUGGUCUGUAACUGACGCUGAGGAGCGAAAGCGUGGGGAGCGAACAGGAUUAGAUACCCUGGUAGUCCACGCCGUAAACGAUGAGUGCUAAGUGUUAGGGGGUUUCCGCCCCUUAGUGCUGCAGCUAACGCAUUAAGCACUCCGCCUGGGGAGUACGGUCGCAAGACUGAAACUCAAAGGAAUUGACGGGGGGCCCGCACAAGCGGUGGAGCAUGUGGUUUAAUUCGAAGCAACGCGAAGAACCUUACCAGGUCUUGACAUCCUCUGACAAUCCUAGAGGAUAGACGUCCCCUUCGGGGGCAGAAGUGGACAGGUGGGUGCAUGGGUGUCGUCAGCUCGUGUCGUGAAGAAUGUUGGGUAAGUCCCGCACGAGCGCAACCCUUUGGAUCUAGUGCUAGCAUUCAGUGGGCACCUCUAAGGUGACUGCGGUGACAACGGAAGAAAGGUGGGAUGACGUCAAUUCAUCAUGCCCCGUAUGACUGGCUAACCACGUGCUACAAUGGAACGUACAAAGGGCAACG